GGGGAGAAAUAUAUGAGUAUUGAUGCCAUGCUCGCAUCACCAAGAGAUGCUAUAAUUGCUAUAAUCAGGUCAAGAUAUCAAACAAAAAACUUGCAUCGUAAUUUUACGUAUUGAUAUCUUACCAUGUGAUGAAAUGCAAUAAUUGCUAAAACAUCAUUUGAAAUGUGUGCAUCAUGUAAUGAUAUCAAAAUCUUACUUCACAGUUUUACAUGUUGAUAUCUUAC
rnacentral:lncRNA from 1 species